rnacentral:misc_RNA from 1 species
AAAACACUUUGAAAAAUCAAAUAUUUUCUUUUUAAGGACUGAAAGAGGAGAGAAAGUUUGGGGAAGAAAUGUGUUUGUGUGUUGAGUUCCUCAUUUGCCCACUAAGGGGUAUUAUACGAGUACAAGUACUAUGUGCACACAAACCAUUACUACCUACACCCCACAAAUAUCUCCUUCACUAUGCUAACACCACUCAUUUUCCUAGAGUUGUAGGUGUACAUUAACAAGUCUCCACAAACUCA